rnacentral:lncRNA from 1 species
GAGGGGGCGGUGCUGGGCGUGUGCGUGCGCGCGCUUGGACGGUAGUAGCGGACGAGGAAGGCGGUGGGAGAGGCCCGAGGUUGAGAGGCCGGCGAAAGGGGGUCAGUUUUUUUUCCUCCCUCUCUGUAUGGUGUUUAAAGGAAAUAGCACGGACGUAAAGGAGAGCGCGAGCGCGCACGCUCAGGUCUGUAAGAGAAGCGGCGCACGCGCAGACAGAGAUUCACGUUCUAAGCGUGGGUGUCUCGAGAGCGUUUGGCGGUUGGUGUGUGGAGGGAAACGAGGCUCGUGCCGGGGGCCGAGAAACGGUGCGGCGGGAGAGGAGUCGAGGCAGGGCGGGGCGGAGAGCGGCCCUUCACACUUGCCGGCUUCUCAUCCGCGGUGUCUCUCGCUGAAAGAAUUGGGGCUCCUGAGUGGGAAGAAGAUAGGAAGCAUAACGCGGGGCGGUCUAGUCCAUUAUGUGCGCCUCGCAAAAAAGGCAAUAUUUGAAUCUCAGUUUGCACUGGGUUGUUUUGAUUCUGCGCUUGGCUUGCCGCGUUUCGAAAUGAUUUACAGUGCAGUCCAAACCUUGCCUACUCAGAAGUAGGCCCAGUUGAGUUCAGUGGGGUUUACUCCUAGGUAAGUUGGGCUACCGUUACACCCAUGUGUGUGUUGCUGUUUUAAUUAGAUGUAUUUUAUUGUACCAUGUGAGUUGCGUUGACCUAAACGUGUUUGAAUGAGGUAAAGGUAAAGGGACCCCUGACUAUUAGGUCGAGUGCUGGCCGACUCUGGGGUUGCGGCGCUCAUCUCGUUUUAUUGGCCGAGGUAGCCAGCAUACAGCUUCCGGGUCAUGUGGCCAGCAUGACUAAGCCACUUCUGGCGAACCAGAGCAGCGCACAGAAACGCCGUUUACCUUCCCGCUGGGGUGGUACCUAUUUAUCUACUUGCACUUUGAUGUGCUUUCGAACUGCUAGGUUGGCAGGAACAGGGUCCGAGCAACGGGAGCUCACCCCGUCACGGGGAUUCAAACCGCCAACCUUCUGAUAGUCAAGUCCUAGGCUCUGUGGUUUAACCCACAGCCCCACCCGCAUCCCUCCUUUGAAUGAAGUAAGGAAUAAAUCACAGUGCUAAGUCGGGGAGCAGACAACUUUGUUGCAUUGUCACCAGCAAGGCAGAACUGAGACCUCUGCCCAUUUCUGGCCUCAGGAUUUUAUUUUAUUUUUUAAGUUUCUCUCCUGCAAUUGUCUUCAAAGUUUGAACACAAUCAAAAGCAUAUUUAAAUUACCGUAUUUUUCGCUCUAUAACACGCACAUUGUUUUUAGAGGAGGAAAACAAGGGAAAAAACAUUCUGAAUGAAACAGUGGAUGUAUCAUUUUUGUGCUUCAUGCUGUGGCCACAGACAUGUGAUCUGAUGGUGAAUUUGGGGUGACCCAAUGCAAAAAUCCUGAGAAUUCCCGUGGAUCCAUGCUUUGUAACCAUGUUUUUGCACCAUUGCAGCCCCAGGCAACAGUGGGUGCGUGAUUUUUGGGGGGCAGGCUGUAGCCAUGGACAUGCUAUGUGCUCUGAUGGUGAAUUUGGGGUGACCCAAUGCAAAGAUCCUGAGGAUCCAUGUGGAUCCAUGCUUUGUAACCACAUUUUAAGUGGGGAGGGAAGGAAAAACACAGAAGGGACAAGGAGCACGAGAGGGGUGUGCAGAGAAGCAGCUGGCUAAGAAUGCAGGAGAGGGGUAUAACUGGCUAAGAAUGCAGGAGAGUGGGGAGGAAAGGAAGGCAAAAGUUUUCCCCCACCCAAGCCAGCCAGCUCGCGCUCUCUCCCACCUGCAUGUUUUCCGGCUGCCUGAUAUAUAAACAUCACUCUAACAUUCCUUAAUUUUGCAGUGUUUCUGAAGAUAGUCUUUGAAUUUCUUCCAAUCUUCCUCCAUCGACUCUUCUCCCUGGUCACGGAUUCUACCAGUCAUUUCCGCCAAUUCCAUAUAGUCCAUAAGUUUCAUCUGCCAUUCCUCCAGCGUGGGAAGUUCUUGUGUCUUCCAAUACUUUGCGAUGAGUAUUCUUGCUGCUGUUGUUGCAUACAUAAAGAAAGUUCUAUCCUUCUUUACCACCAUUUGGCCGACUAUGCCCAGGAGGAAGGCCUCUGGUUUCUUAGGGAAGGUAUACUUAAAUACCUUUUUUAGUUCAUUAUAUAUCAUUUCCCAGAAAGCCUUAAUCUUUGGGCACGUCCACCAAAGGUGAAAAAAUGUACCUUCAAUUUCUUUACAUUUCCAACAUUUAUUAUCGGGCAAGUGAUAGAUUUUUGCAAGCUUGACUGGGGUUAUGUACCACCGGUAUAUCAUUUUCAUAAUAUUCUCUCUUAAGGCAUUACAUGCCGUAAAUUUCAUACCUGUGGUCCAUAACUGUUCCUAGUCAGCAAACAUAAUGUUAUGACCAACGUCCUGUGCCCAUUUAAUCAUAGCCGAUUUUACCGUUUCAUCCUGAGUAUUCCAUUUCAGCAACAAGUUGUACAUUCUUGACAAAUUCUUAGUUUUGGGUUCCAACAAUUCUGUUUCUAAUUUGGAUCUUUCCACCUGGAAGCCAAUUUUCCUGUCCAAUUUAAAUACCUCCAUUAUCUGAUAAUAAUGAAGCCAGUCUCGCACUUUGUUUUUUAGUUUUUCAAAACUCUGCAAUUUCAGUCUAUCUCCGUCUGAUUUUUUUUUUUUAAUUGCCUUGACAGAAGAAAGCAUUUUAACUGCAUUAAGAACUAUUUAGCAGCGAAACCUAAGCUUUGCCAUCCCUUAAGAGGUACAGACACUGUAAUCUUCCAGAUCGCAUGAAUUUACUGGCAAAACACUGUUUAAGGAUUUCAUCCUUUUAAAUGGAAGAAAGCGUAUUUGAAUGCUGUGUGUCCUCAAAAACAAAAGCAAAAAGUCAAAUCAGAAUUUUAAGCUGAACCUGUAAUCUCUCUUCCCUUCGCAAACAUUGUUCCCUCCGGAGCAUGGAGAGGAAUUAGAAGGAAGGACACUGCUUUCCCCUCUGCUUGCCUGGAGGGGAGGGGCUUUCCCUGCUCUUUGUUCCGUUGGAGCAAACACAGCAACGAAACAGAGAGGGUGGGCAGUAAGACCCUGAGGCAGAAUGCAGGAAAGCAGCCGCUUCCUCUUUUCAGGUUUCCCUUCUCCGAGACACGAUUUGAUUUUUGCCUGAUUUUGCCUCCACUCGCGCCAUUCGGCUCCAGGGACCACACAUUCGCUCAAUAACAUGCACAGGCAUUUCCCCUUCCUUUUUAGGAGAAAAAAUCUGCGUGUUAUAGAGAGAAAAAUACGGUAUCUCCUGGUUUGAAGGCGAGUCAUGGGACUUUAAAAGCUUAGGCUCUCUUGGGUCUCUGCUGCUUUCUGGAUUGUCACCUUUUGGCCCAACCCCUCUUGGAGUUCUAAUUAGUUGGAUUAUGGCUUCUUAGAAGGAAGCUAUCCAGUAUAACCUCUCAGAUGCUUUCACAGGGACCAUAAGGUUGUACCCUGGCUCUUUGGUCUCAGAAAGGGAAAAGUAGCCGUUUGAUAUCACCUAGGUGAAAAUUAAGAGAAAAAAUAAAUGAGAUCCCAUUAUUUGGAUAGCAUACGGUGAGUAAAAUGUUUUUGGAGUAUGCACCAAUGGCCAGCCAUUGGGUGGCAUGAGAAGUGGUGGUAAUGACUGCUGCAUGUUAGGAGGUGAACAUGGUUAUAAAGAAACCUUUUUCACGAUCAUUUCAAAUGUAUUGGUGUUCUGUCUUUCCUUAAAGAUACAAAAUAAAACCAAACACAGAGAAUAGCUGUAUGUGUAAUGGGGUGGGGAAAGAAAUUUUGCUAAUGUUCACCAUUUCUUUUAAAAAUUGAGUUGGGGAGUAGAAAAUGGACAAUCUUGAAGUAACAUAAUUGGGGGAGGGGGAAUCAUACAAGGUAAUCUGCCUGUGGACUGAUUUUGAGUAGGAGCUGUUAGAGUUAUCUACUCUUGGUCAGAAAUUACAUCACAGAAUGUUCCCAAUAGGUAUUUUGAAAGUCAGAUUACAAUCAUAUACACACUCACAUGGGACUAAGUCUCAUUAAGCUUCUGGUCUGAAUAGAUGUCUAUCAGGUUGCACUAUUGUGAAACCCAAGUCACACCAUGUUUGUAAAUACAGUUCAUUGCCUUUGAAAUAUACCCUGCUUUUUCAGAUAUAUUAUCAUAGAAUCAAAGAAUCAUAGAGUUGGAAGAGACCACAAGGGCCAUCGAGUCCAAACCCCUGCCAAGCAGGAAACACCAUCAGAGCACUCCUGACAUAUGGUUGUCAAGCCUCUGCUUAAAGACUUCCAAAGAAGGAGAUUCCACCACACUCCUUGGCAGCAAAUUCCACUGUCGAACAGCUCUUACUGUCAGGAAGUUCUUCCUAAUGUUUAGGUGGAAUCUUCUUUCUUGUAGUUUGGAUCCAUUGCUCCGUGUCCGCUUCUCUGGAGCAGCAGAAAACAACCUUUCUCCCUCCUCUAUGUGACAUCCUUUUAUAUAUUUGAACAUGGCUAUCAUAUCACCCCUUAACCUCCUCUUCUCCAGGCUAAACAUGCCCAGCUCCCUUAGCCGUUCCUCAUAAGGCAUCGUUUCCAGGCCUUUGACCAUUUUGGUUGCCCUCCUCUGGACACGUUCCAGUUUGUCAGUGUCCUUCUUGAACUGUGGUGCCCAGAACUGGACACAGUACUCCAGGUGAGGUCUGACCAGAGCAGAAUACAGUGGCACUAUUUCUUCCCUUGAUCUAGAUGCUAUACUCCUAUUGAUGCAGCCCAGAAUUGCAUUGGCUUUUUAGCUGCCGCGUCACACUGUUGGCUCAUGUCAAGUUUGUGGUCAACCAAGACUCCUAGAUUCUUUUCACAUGUACUGCUCUCAAGCCAGGUGUCACCCAUCUUGUAUUUGUGCCUCUCAUUUUUUUGCCCAAGUGCAAUACUUUACAUUUCUCCCUGUUAAAAUUCAUCUUGUUUGUUUUGGCCCAGUUCUCUAAUCUGUCAAGGUCGUUUUGAAGUGUGAUCCUGUCCUCUGGGGUGUUAGCCACCCCUCCCAGUUUGGUGUCAUCUGCAAAUUUGAUCAGGAUGCCCUUGAGUCCAUCAUCCAAGUUGUUGAUAAAGAUGUUGAAUAAGACCGGGCCCAAGACAGAACCCUGUGGCACCCCACUAGUCACUCUUCUCCAGGAUGAAGAGGAACCAUUGAUGAGCACCCUUUGGGUUCGGUCAGUCAGCCAGUUACAAAUCCACUGAGUGGUAGCAUAGUCAAGACCGCAUUUUACCAGCUUCUUUACAAGAAUAUCAUGGGGCACCUUGUCAAAUGCCUUGCUGAAAUCAAGGUAGGCUACAUCCACUGCGUUCCCUUCAUCUACCAGGCUUGUAAUUCUGUCAAAAUCGAGAUCAGGUUAGUCUGACAUGACUUAUUUUUCAGAAAUCCAUGCUGACUAUUGGUGAUCACAGCAUUCCUUUCUAGGUGCUCACAGACUGUUUGCUUAAUGAUCUGCUCCAGAAUCUUCCCUGCUAUUGAUGUCAGACUGACUGGGUGGUAAUUAUUUGGGUCCUCUCUUUCCCCUUUUUGAAAAUAGGGACAACAUUUGCCCUCCUCCAGUCUGCCGGGACUUCGCCUGUUCUCCAGGAAUUCUCAAAGAUGACUGCCAGUGGUUCUGAGAUCACAUCUGCCAGUUCUUUUAAUACUCUUGGAUGCAGUUCAUCUGGCCCUGGAGACUUGAAUACAUCUAAACUAGCCAAGUAUUCUUGUACUAUCUCCUUAGUUAUUCUGGGCUGUGUUUCCUCUGCUGAAUCAUUUGCUCCAAAUUCUUCAGGUCGGGCAUUGUUUUCUUUAUCGGAGAAGACUGAGGCAAAGAAGGCAUUGAGGAGUUCAGCCCUUUCUGUGUCCCCUGUUUGCAUUUCACCAUCUUCUCCUCUGAGUGACCCCACUGUUUCUUUGUUCUUCCUUUUGCUAUGAACAUACCCAUAAAAGCCUUUUUGUUGCUUUUAACCUCCUAGCAAGCCUGAGUUCAUUCUGUGCUUUAGCUUUUCUGACUUUAUGUCUACACGUGCUGGCUAUUUGUUUGAAUUCCUCUUUGGUGGUUUCCCCCCUUUUCCAUUUUUUGUACACAUCCUUUUUUAAUCUUAACUCAGUUAAAAGUUCAUUAGAUAGCCACCCUGGCUUCUUUAGGCACCUUCCAUGUUUCCGUCUCAUUGGUAUUGCCUGAAGUUGUGCUUUUACUAUCUCCCUCUUAACAAACUCCCAGCCAUCAUGAACUCCCUUUCCUUUUAGUAUUACUGUCCAUGGGAUCUCACCCAGCACUUCCCUAAGUUUUAUGAAGUCGGCUUUCUUAAAGUCAAGAAAUUGAGUCCUAGUAUGCUUGGCUGCUCCUUUCCACUGUAUAGUAAACUUCAGAAGAGCAUGAUCACUCGUGCCUAAUGAUCCUUCCACUUCUACCCCACUAACCAGGUCAUCAACAUUGGUUAGGACCAGAUCUAAAAUGGCUGUUCCUCUUGUUGCUUCUCCCACUUUCUGGACAAUGAAGUUGUCUGCAAGGCCAGUGAGGAAUCUGUUUGACCUUAUGCUCUUGGCUGAGUUUGACAUCCAACAAAUAUCCGGGUAAUUGAAGUCUCCCAUUACUACUAUCUCCCUUCCUUUUGCAUGCUUGGCCAUCUGUUCCAGGAAGGCAUCAUCUAUGUCCUCCGUUUGGCUUGGGGAUCUAUAGUAAACUCCCACAAUGAGGUCACUGUUAUUCUUCUCUCCCUUAAUUUUGACCCAAAUGCUCUCACUUUGGCUUUGAGGUUCUAAAUCUUGGAUCUCUUCACAGGUAUACACAUCCCUGACAUAUAACGCCACUCCUCCUCCUUUCUUGUCUGGUCUGUUUCUCUGAAAUAGAUUGUAUCCCUCCAUUAUUACAUUCCAAUCGUGGGACUUAUCCCACCAGGUUUCAGUGAUGCCUAUUAUGUCAUAUUUAGUUUGCUGUACCAAGAGCUCAAGCUCAUCUUGUUAGUUCCCAUGCUUUGCGCAUUAGUGUACAGACAUUGAAGUCCAUUAAUCAUUCUAUCGCAGCUAACUAAAAAAUGUGGUGCCCUAUAACGAAAGUGUACCCUAGUCAAUUUAAGCAGAAGUAAGGGAAUCAAAUCCAUAUUUUGCCUAAAAUAACAUACAGAGGUCCACAGUGACCGUGAUUUAAGCUCUCCCAUGGAAACAAUGGGACAUAUUUGGUUGGAGGGUUCCCCAAAUUGAUGCACAUUGGGUUGGGUAGCUCUUACGCUCUACAUGGGGCUACCUUUGAAGGUGACCCGGAAACUACAACUAAUCCAGAAUGCGGCAGCUAGACUGGUGACUGGGAGUGGCUGCCGGGACCACAUAACACCGGUCCUGAGAGAUCUGCAUUGGCUCCCAGUACGUUUCCGAGCACAAUUCAAAGUGUUGGUGCUGACCUUUAAAGCCCUAAACGGCCUCAGUCCUGUAUACCUGAAGGAGCAUCUCCACCCCCAUCGUUCAGCCCGGACACUGAGAUCCAGCGCCGAGGGCCUUCUGGCAGUUCCCUCAUUGCGAGAAGUAAGGUUACAGGGAACCAGACAGAGGGCCUUCUCAGUAGUGGCGUCCACCCUGUGGAACACCCUCCCUUCAGAUGUUAAGGAAAUAAGUAGCUAUCCUAUCUUUAAAAGACAUCUGAAGGCAGCCCUGUUCAGGGAAGUUUUUAAUAUUUAACGCUGUACUGUUUUUAAUACUUGAUUGGGAACCGCACAGAGUGGCUGGGGAGACUCAGCCAGAUGGGCGGGGUAUAAAUAAUAAAUUAUUAUUAUUAUUGUUGUUGUUGUUGUUGUUGUUGUUAUAGUUAGUUGGGUUCUAGGGCUGCUAGGAAGGAUGUACAGGUUAAUGUGAUUGUAGGCUCAAUGCAAGUCAGCAAAGUGGUGAUGCUGCAAAAAAGAGGAAGAAGCAAAUCCUGUUUUGAAUUUAUUAAGAGAAGCUUUCAAGACAUAAGAGGUAAUGACACUUCUCGCUGUGACGCUUAUUAUAGGUCUCUGAAGUGCUGCAUCAUGUGUUCACAUUUUAAUUAUACAAACAAACGAGAAGAUUCUGAAGACAAACUCAGAGUUGAGAAUAGCAUGCAGAAGGCAGUAGACAUUUUCACGUAAAGAAAAGUAGCUUGGGGAAGAGGAUGUGGAAUUAAUUUUUAUAUAUUUAAUGGAUUCAUCUAAGAAGGAUGAAAAAUGAGUUGAAGUUUUAACCAAAUUUAGGUUAGAUUAUGUAUAACUAAUUGUAAACAGCUGAGCAGUGAAAUGCUGCUCUAGGAAAUAGAGAAGGGUGGAAAAUAACACUUCACCAAUGCUAUAGAAAGGUGUGAAUCCAACAUGAGUCCAGCCUUUGCUUCAACUAUAAUUGGAUUAACUGGAAUUAUCUCGCCAAGCUAAUUUCAAGACUUCUUUGCCUUUGAGGGUAUAAGUGAUGUUGUUUUGGCUACAGCUGUGAAGUACUUCUGAGACAACUAAUUUUGCCUGAUCUGGAACAGUUUUGCAUUCUUAUUUCUGAAUUCACACCCAUUUUCAAACGUUUUUGUGGACUACUUGAAGCUUGCUAGGGUUCUCGAUGGAUCAUUUACACAUUUUUUUGUUCUGCAAUGUAUAAUAGAUUUCACUUCUGAAUUAAAUUUGAAUAAAAAAUAACUUUCUUCAGCACUGGUCUAUUGAAAUCCAGCACUGUUAUGAAAUCAUAUUCCUAGACCAGGCUGCUAAGAAAGGCCCCUUUAAAUCAUAGUAAAAAAAAGAGAGAGAGACAGCUCAUAAUAAUUAUAUCACAGGUCUUAGGUCAGGGGCUUGUUAAUUAAUCCAUUCAUGUUUUAAAUGGUUUUGAACUACAUCGGGGUGGGGUGGGAAAGACAACUAAAUUGAAAUUCCCCAUACAUUUUUGCUACACACUAAUGCCAGUUACGGAGAAAAGCAGUGCCAGUUCCAAACCCUCCCAUUCAGGCUGACCUCAGCCCUAUGGUGGUUUUCCCCACCAAACCCCUGGGGACCCACAUUGGCCUCCUCAGGCCCCAGGACAUAUUGGUUUACCUUUCUGGACGACCUACCGAUACACUGUAUCUUGACGAACAUGACAUAGAACAGCCUGAUCCCCUCCCAAAUGUUGAUUCACCUGGGAGUAGGCUCAACACUGAGGUGGGCAGAAACAGCCUAUCCCCUGAACACCAGUUUUCCAUGAUUAUUCUGGUACAUGCCAAGGCUAAAAUGUGACUUCUACAGCAAGCCAAGUCGUUAGGGGAAAGUAUCUUCUGCCUGAAACUAGGCUAUUCAGCAGGCUAUUCCAGACCUUCCCCCUUGACUAGAAAUACCAGGUUAUAGCUAGCUUCAGCCUACUAGCUACGGUGUCAACACUGUGGCAUAGUGAGUGGACAACCUGCCCUAUGGGGCUGGGAAAUGGGGGGGGGCAUGUGUGAGAUGUGCUCACAGGGAGUGUGAUUUGAGGCAUUCAAGAACAUUAAAAUUCAGGGCCAUUAAAUUGGCAAUACCUCAUUCUGAUCCACACCCCCAGGGGAGACCUGUCCUGAUAAAGACAGAAAACAUGGUGGCAAAGGCAUGCAUAAACAGGCAGUGGAGCACAAGGUCCAAGUCCAUGUGGUUGGAGGCAACUGAGAUAGGCAGUUCCAAUCAGGAAGACCACCUUAGAAGAGUCAAAGCCCUUUUUUCUCCAGCUUUGUGUGCUCCCUGUGCUAAGGAGGCUAAUGUAGCCCUUUCUUUAAAAAACAACAACAAAAACCCACCUUUAUUAUCAACUAACUUUGAGCUGACAUCACAUCUCAGUGUUUUACUGCAUUUGUUCUUUGUUUCAUUGUUCUAUUUUAUUGUAUCGUAUAUAUUCUAUCAUAUUUAAUGAGUUUCAUUUAAACUGCUUUGGAGAUGUAUUUUGGCU